GACGAACGCUGGCGGCGUGCUUAACACAUGCAAGUCGAACGAUGAACCUCGAAAUGACAUCUUCGGAAGGAUUUUUGAGAGGAUUAGUGGCGAACGGGUGAGUAACGCGUGAGCAACCUGCCUUAGACAAGGGGAUAGCCUCGGGAAACCGUGAUUAAUACCCUAUGAGACUCCACUUACGAGUGUAAGAGAAGUUAAAGCUAUUGCGGUCUAAGAUGGGCUCGCGUCUGAUUAGCUAGUUGGUGAGAUAAAAGCCCACCAAGGCGACGAUCAGUAACCGGCUUGAGGGAGUGAACGGUCACAGUGGAACAGAGACACGGUCCAAACUCCUACGGGAGGCAGGAGUGGGGAAUAUUGCACAAGGGGGGGGGGAACCCUGAUGCAGCGACGCCGCGUGAGCGAUGAAGGAAUUCGUUUCGUAAAGCUCUGUCCUUGGAGAAGAUAAUGACGGUAACCAAGGAGGAAGCACCGGCUAAAUACGUG
rnacentral:rRNA from 1 species